rnacentral:lncRNA from 1 species
UUAAUAACUGACUUGGAAAAAGACAUCUGAGUACCUAUCAUCUCUAUUAUACUCAGAAAUAUUUCUGUAAGUAGCAAUUAGGCCAUUGCAUCUAUAUCAUGUAAAACAUACUUUUGAGAAUUUUAAAAAUUUCUUUUUUCCUCUGUCUCCUAUCACUAUUUACUCCUCCUUAAAGGUGAUGACUCAGUGGUCCCCCAAUCUCCCGUCUCAUAGCAAUUAUUAUGUAGAUUCAUCUGUGACCCAGGACAUUAUGUUCAGUGUAAUAAGCCAGACAUAGAAAGCCCAAGACAACUUCUCUUCAUUAAAUGCGGUCCAGGCAAGCUAGGGAUCUUCAGUCCAUGGAACACAUAUUGGACAUACCUGGUAGACAAUAUGACCCGGUCAGAGAACAAUGGAUUUGACAUUAAUGUAGGGUUUCCAACUUCCAUGAGGACUGUCAUCCUUUCUUUUGGCCUGUUUCUCUCUUGGAAAUAAAAUGUUAAUGCCACUACUAUGUAUUAGAAGUCGUAACUUACUUGGAUUUCUCAGGGAUCGAACUCAGGACCUUGCACUUGCAUGGCAGUUGCCAGAACCACUGAGCUAAAUCCCCGGCCCAAGAAAUUUAUAAUUUUUGAGAGGAAACAACCAUUUGUCCACAUCUAUGCAUUAUUGUUUCUGCCAGACAGUCCAAUCCUUACAAA